rnacentral:tRNA from 1 species
GGGGGUGUAGCUAAGUGGUAGAGCACUUGCCUAGAAUGUAGGGGGGGCCCUGGAUUCAAUAUCCAGCACUGCUA